AGAUGGGGAUGAUAGAGUGGUUUAUCUCCCAAACCUGCAUAUAUAGUACAUACGCAUUCCUUUCCAUUUGUGAACUACAAUAUUCAUUCUUAAAGAUUUCAGCUUUAAAAAGACAGGUAUGCAUGAGUCCUUCAUGGUUUUCAGGAAUAGCAUUUCUGAAUUAAGUUCUUAAUUAGAGUAUGUUGAUGUAACCUUCUGUUCCUUUCAGACCAGAUCUGUCAAAUGAGGCGACUAAUUGUAUUCCAAUGGAGGCCCCAUGGAGGUGAGGUGAUUGAUGAGUCAAUUUUUGCCAAGCCUCAAAUAUGUCCCCUAUUCUAAUAUCUGGAUUUGAGUGUUGAGGGUAAGGAUCGAAUUUGAUGUUUUUCAUAUGACUUGUAAAUUGUAAUGCUAGCUUCUCAUACUUUAAAAGUUUGUUUUCUUAUAGUGUUAGUUUUUAGAGCUUCUAUGAUUAGCCAUAGGCUUUGUUUAAUGUUUCAGUUCCUAUUUUACAGAUAACAGAAUUUCCAACCCUCGGUCCAAACAUUGAUUAAUUGAUGAGAUUUUUGGACUCAAUUAAUUCCUUCCAUUCAACAGAGUCAAUAGUAGGCUUGGUUGUGAUGUUAUGUAGGCCUAACCUCUUUAUAUAGCUCGUUUGUAUCCAUUCAUCUAGGAUCGAUUGCUUCCCCGGCCCAUAUUGUAACAACCUUUUUUAUUGGGGCAGUUAAGACGAUUGUAUGUAUGUAUAUGUUUCUAACUCCCAUACCGCCCCCUUCAUGUUUAGGAAGUAUCGUUUUUUCCAAAGUAUCCAUUUUCUUCCAUCCCAAAUAAAAUGCAUGGUAGGCCAAUUUAUGUAUCUUCUUAUGCAUUGAAGUCGGUAGGAUAUAUAAUUUCUUGAGCCCAGUAGGUGUAUUUCCCUGCCAAUAUAUAUCCAGUUCACUGGCUAGAUUCCAUCUCCCAUAAGAGAGGCACUUGCUACUCCAUCUAGAGAGCAUGUGGCUUCAAUUGGUUGAAUAAGUUUCUAAUAAUAUUAUUGGUUGUAGGACUUCUCAGGUUAUGGGGAGCUUAGGAAUUAAAUGGGAAAUCAAGAAUUUGUUGUAGAGAAAGAUGAUAGAGCUUUGAAAAGAUGAUAGAGUUGAUUUGACCAUAAGCCCAAAGAAAGUAGAGAAGGUUUCCAGGAUAGAUUUGAUUGUCUUUAAGGAUUUAAGAUUUGCUUUUGUGAAUAUUAAUAUACAUCAUAGAUCUACAUACAUGAUACAUCGGAUGAGAUACAAAGGUGCAUAUAUAUAUGCAUGGCUUCAUUCAUUAUAUAGGUGUCAUAUAUCUUUUUCCCUAGCUUCCUUCUCCAUAUGGAAUUGUGAAAUUGUAUCAUCAUACCUUUUAAUUUUGAAAUUGUGGGAGUACUGGAGGAGUCUUCCACUAAUAAGACUGAGAAAGAGGUAGAAAAAAUACACUUAUUUCAGAUGAUUAAUUCUUCAAAAUAUACAGAUCUAGCUGAUCAGAAGUCAUAAUUAGCUUGGAGAUCGAUUAAUGUUAAUGAAUUAAGGACUCUCAUCUUACAAUGUCAAAGGCCUUCAAGUAAAGACUGAUAACAUCUUCUUAGGAUUCUUUUUCUACAGAAUCCAUAGACAAUAUCUUAUCACAACUAAUUAACAUUGUAUUGUCUGAUAUAUUUUUUCCUUGGAUGAAAGUUGUUUGGUUUGGGGAUAUAUAUAAGCUCACUAGAGACUUUGGACAACCUAUCUUUAUAAAAAGUUUAUGAUACAAUAUUAGAUUGACACAAAAGUUUAUAAAAAGUUUAGGCAUAAAGCUAAAGCUAGUCUCCCAGUUCUGAGGCAGUUGGGAUUUUAGGGACGAGAGUUAUGAAUGUGUGGUUAGUAGCCCUUUAGUAUAGGCGAUCCAGUCUCUGAAGAUUUGUUUAACAACUUACAUGAUGAUCAUUUUUGUUUCAGGCCAGAGCUUUUUGUAGAACUUAGAGGUAAAUCCAUAUGAUCCAUGAUAUUUUUCAGAUUGAAAGAAGAAGAGGGUUGUUCUAACUUCCUCUUCUGAUGGUUGUCGAUUGGGUGAGGCGCAGAUCAUAGAGAAGUCAGGUAUGUCUUAUCGUUGACAUUUGAUCUAUCGAUUUCUCUCAUUAUUGAUUUUUUAUUCAAAAUAAAAUCAGCAUCGAUCUCUCGAGCAAAUAUCUCAAAAAAAAUCCUUUUAUUUUAAUCAAUUAUUAUGUUUUCUAUUUAAUCAUUAAUUGUGUAAUGGGUGAGAACUUUAUAUAAUAAUUAAAACCCCAAUAAUGAAGUAUAUUGAAAAUUCUAAAAAUUUAAUCUCAAGCAGUUAUGAAACACAACUAGCAGAUCACCGCCUCACCUGUACGUACAUCUGGAAACGAUCAAGGGAUGAUUGUGUGAGUUGAGGAGUAGUGCAAGAGAGGAGAAAUAAAUUAAGAAACCUAUUAAUAUAUAUUUAUGUAUAUCGUAAUUUAUAAAUAAAUUUAGGGCUUUGAUCGAUACUUUUCUAUUGUAUAUUAGGGUUUUAAUUUACUGUCACUACAAAAAAAAGUUAGCAGUUAGGACGAGCAAAGUUAACGGAAUUUCCGUUACAAAUUCCGUUACAAAUAAGGAAAAAUAAUUUGUAACGGAAGUUCCGUUAAAAAUGAGGAAAAAAAUUUGUAACGGAAAUUCCGUUAAAAAAAAUUUUUUUUCAAAAAAAAUUUCCAGAAUUCCAGUGCCACUGGAAUUCUGAAAUUCCUGUAAAAUCAUUGCAAUACAUUCAAUAUUGGAAUACAUUCAAUACAUUCUUAUAAAAUCAUUGGAAUUCCUGUAAAAUCAUUGCAAUACAUUCAAUAUUGGAAUACAUUCAAUACAUUCCUGUAAAAUCAUUGGAAUUCCUGUAAAUUAAUUCAAUAUUCAAUACAUAAACAAUAUUCAACAUUCAAAAAAAGUAACAUUCAACAAAUUAACAUUCAACAAAAACUAACAUUCAAAAAAACUAACAUUCGAC
rnacentral:lncRNA from 1 species